rnacentral:sRNA from 1 species
UGAUAGUGAGGUUGUCGGCCGUGACCGC